rnacentral:rRNA from 1 species
GAUAAACGCUGGCGGCGUGCCUAAUACAUGCAAGUCGAGCGGUAAGGCUUUCACAGAUUAUUUGAACGGAAAAGUCUGAUUUAUCAGAUACUAUCCUUCAACUCAUUUCUCUUUGGCGAGAGAAAAACGAGGUCGAAUAAUGCGUGAAAGUACACGAGCGGCGGACGGCUGAGUAACGCGUAGGAAUGUACCCCAAAGUGAGGAAUAAGCACCGGAAACGGUGUCUAAUGCCGCAUGUGAUCUAAGGAUUAAAGCCUUCGGGCGCUUUGGGAGCAGCCUGCGUAUGAUUAGUUUGUUGGUGAGGUAAUGGCUCACCAAGACUACGAUCAUUAGCUGGUCUGAGAGGAUGAUCAGCCAGACUGGGACUGAGACACGGCCCAG